rnacentral:misc_RNA from 1 species
AAGUCGUAACAAGGUUUCCGUAGGUGAACCUGCGGAAGGAUCAUUACUGAAUUUUCUAUUUACAUUGUGAACGCCUGUGGUUGCGCGUUUUGGGUUGUUGUCUGGUGGCUUCUGUUUGUUUUGGUCACCGCUCUGCGGUGGUUGGGGUGAAACAGUCACAGACGGAUCCGGUGCGCAGCCACAAAAACAUUGACAUUGUACACCAUGCAGUCUAAUACAACAACAACAACAACAAUCAAAAACAACUUUUAACAAGGGAUCUCUUGGCUCUC